rnacentral:rRNA from 1 species
AACGAACGCUGGCGGCAGGCCUAACACAUGCAAGUCGAGCGAGGACUUCGGUUCUAGCGGCGGACGGGUGAGUAACGCGUGGGAAUGUGCCCUUCUCUACGGGAUAGCCCUGGGAAACUGGGAGUAAUACCGUAUACGCCCUUUUGGGGAAAGAUUUAUCGGAGAAGGAUCAGCCCGCGUUGGAUUAGGUAGUUGGUGGGGUAAUGGCCUACCAAGCCGACGAUCCAUAGCUGGUUUGAGAGGAUGAUCAGCCACACUGGGACUGAGACACGGCCCAGACUCCUACGGGAGGCAGCAGUGGGGAAUCUUAGACAAUGGGGGCAACCCUGAUCUAGCCAUGCCGCGUGAGUGAUGAAGGCCUUAGGGUUGUAAAGCUCUUUCAGCUGGGAAGAUAAUGACGGUACCAGCAGAAGAAGCCCCGGCUAACUCCGUG